rnacentral:rRNA from 1 species
UACGUAGGUGGCGAGCGUUGUCCGGAUUUACUGGGCGUAAAGAGCGCGCAGGCGGUCGUGCAAGUCGCGUGUGAAAGCCCCCGGCUCAACUGGGGAGGGUCACGCGAUACUGCUCGACUUGAAGGCAGGAGAGGGAAGUGGAAUUCCCGGUGUAGUGGUGUAAUGCGUAGAUAUCGGGAGGAACACCAGUGGCGAAGGCGACUUCCUGGCCUGUUCUUGACGCUGAGGCGCGAAAGCUAGGGUAACAAACGGG